GGCAGUGUGGCCGAGUGGUUAAGGCGGAUGAUUCGAAAUCAUCUGAGCGUGUCUCUCGUUGGUUCGAAUCCAGCCACUGUCG
rfam:Papilio machaon contig41861, whole genome shotgun sequence.